UACAGAGGGGGCAAGCGUUAUUCGGAAUUAUUGGGCGUAAAGGGCGCGUAGGCGGUUCUUCAAGUCUCUCGUGAAAUCCCUCGGCUUAACUGAGGACGUGCGGGAGAUACUGAAGGGCUUGAGUCCGGAAGAGGGUGGUGGAAUUCCUGGUGUAGCGGUGAAAUGCGUAGAUAUCGGGAGGAACACCUGUGGCGAAAGCGGCGCACUGGACCACAACUGACGCUGAGGCGCGAAAGCUAGGGGAGCAAACAGG
rnacentral:rRNA from 1 species